UCUCCCGUGAGGGAGCAGUCUCGCCUGGCCAUAUAGGCAACAGACAACGGGGGUUGCGUUCGUUACCCCACUGAAGGGAACAGCUCAAGCCACGAACUGACGACGACCAUGCAUCACCUGUCCAGCACCCUCGAAGGCUUCCUGGUUUUCACCGGGAAUGCAGCUGGAUUUCUAACCUUGGUAAGGUUCUUCGUUUGCCAUCGAAUUGAGCCACAUAAUCCACUGCUUGUGCGAGUCCCCGUCUAUUCCUUUGAGUUUUAAUCUUGCGAUCGUACUACCCAGGCGGCUCGCUUACCGCGUUAGCUUAGCCUCACAGAGGGUCGAUACUCCGUAAAGCGAGCGAGCAACGUUGAGGGCCAGGACUA
rnacentral:misc_RNA from 1 species